AGUGAACGCUGGCGGUAGGCCUAACACAUGCAAGUCGAACGGCAGCACAGUAAGAGCUUGCUCUUACGGGUGGCGAGUGGCGGACGGGUGAGGAAUACAUCGGAAUCUACUUUUUCGUGGGGGAUAACGUAGGGAAACUUACGCUAAUACCGCAUACGACCUACGGGUGAAAGCAGGGGAUCUUCGGACCUUGCGCGAUUGAAUGGGCCGAUGUCGGAUUAGCUAGUUGUCGGGGUAAAGGCCCACCAAGGCGACGAUCCGUAGCUGGUCUGAGAGGAUGAUCAGCCACACUGGAACUGAGACACGGUCCAGACUCCUACGGGAGGCAGCAGUGGGGAAUAUUGGACAAUGGGCGCAAGCCUGAUCCAGCCAUACCGCGUGGGUGAAGAAGGCCUUCGGGUUGUAAAGCCCUUUUGUUGGGAAAGAAAAGCAGCAGGUUAAUACCCCGCUGUUCUGACGGUACCCAAAGAAUAAGCACCGGCUAACUUCGUG
rnacentral:rRNA from 1 species